ACUACGGAUCAGAAGAUUCUAGGUUCGACUCCUGGCUGGCUCGCGGUGUACGUUUUGCCACCUUCCGGUUGGACAUAACAAGACCUCCUUGGAAAGGAUCAUGGCUAGACUGUGAUUAGAUACCACGAAUUUUAAUGCUACUCUGCCCCAAGUGUCGUCUUUUAAGCUGUGUUUGGAACCCGGAGCUGUCCGAGAUGCUGUGCAAAUUGCGAAGUGCCCAAUUCUUAAUCAUGCCCACGAGAAGACUCUGUAAAUGUGGUGCCCAGCUCGGAGACCUGAGAAGGCCUGAAAGUCUGCGGCCGACAGGGGACUCGAACCCGGGGAAUUUUGAGUCAUCGGACACUGUCCAUUAAUGGCUCAGUCGAUCAAUUAAUUUAUUCAAUGUAAUGUUUUUCUCCCCCAAGGAAAUUAUAGGAAAUUUGUAAAAUACAGAAAAUUAUGGAGAAUAAAAAUAACGCGAACUUCCAUCCCGAGAUCAUUACUAUGAGCAUUAUAAUUUUUUUCCUUAUAGACUUUUUUUCUUCCACACUUUUUAAUGUGGAUAUACUUACAUAUGUAUUUUUCCAAAUUGGAGUUGUACCAGGAAUGGGUUUAUGUUCUCAUUUUAUCUCCUUUAGAUUUUCGUCUGAGAUUUAAGGUCAUUAAAUAUUCUUUGAAGAUAUUCUAUAAGAGAACUGGAUAUGUUAACCAUAAUCCUUAUGUUGGAAAUUGGGUUGUUGCCAGUUUAACACUUUUUAAAAAUGAUGCUGUGUUGAAUUAUUUCUGUCUUAUAAGUUUCUAGAUGUGGAAUGACCAGGUGGACAUCUUUAAGGUCCAUUUUGUGAACAUUUUUAAGACAUUUGGUACAUAUUUUCAAAUUGCCUUCCAAAAAAUUAAACCAAUACACAUUUUCUGAUUAGCAUCUGUUUCCACGCAUGCUAACCAACACUGGAUAUUAUAAAUUUAAUUAUAACUUCUUUGCCAGUUUUAUAAUUGAAAAA